AUCGAUGAAGAGAUAUAGUCAAUAGAUUAUAAUAUCAUAUGGGAGCUAACACAUUAGAAUGUAAAUAAUAUUGGUGUACAAUGAGUAUUAAAAAAACUUACAACGAAAAUGGAGUAAUUGAAAAGCUCAAAGCAAGUUAGUGGAAAAAUGGUAGUCUUAACAUCAUGGAAUAUACUAUAAUAAAGUAUUUCCCAAAUUUCUAGAUGGGACACCAUCAUAAAUAUCUUGUCCCUUGCACCAUAUAAGAACUGGUUAUUCAUGAAACAUUGAUGAUAGUAAAAAUAAUUUUGGAUUUGUGUUCAUGUUUAGAUCAAGUUAUAUGUUUUGGUCAUAUAAGACGCAAGCCAUGGCCACUCUUUCCACUAGUGAAGUUGAAUUUGUUGUAGUAGCUUCCUUUGAAUGCCAUGACAUCUAUGAAAACUUUCCACCAGAAAAGUUCUUGAUCAAAUUUCUUAAUUUGAAGAGAAGAAGACUAUGAUCUUUUGCAACAACACCUCCUCAACAAAAUUGUCAAAAAAUCAGUUAUAUGUGGCUGGUACAAAACCUAUAGAUAAGAGAUACCACCUUUUGCAAGCUAAGUAAGAAAAUGGACAUGUCGUAAAUUGUCUAGUUUAGACUAAUUUGCUUGAUUCUUGUAUUAAACUAUAUUGCUAAGUGUGUUGUGUUAGGUAUUUUAUUUAUUUACGGGAGAAGUUUUUUGGAUUAAUACAGUUAGUUAGUUAAUUUGUUAUUUGUUUAUGAAGUAACACUUACUUGUGUUGUACGCUACCUGUAAAUUGUAAAGUUUAUGCUUUCCCAUUACAACUUAAAUAUAAUUGAUGUAUGCAUAUUCUAAAGGCAAUUAAUGAUCUAUAUACCUCAUAGGUUGAUGUUCAUUUAAAAAAUAAUAUAGAGAUAUU
rnacentral:lncRNA from 1 species